UGGGGGAGGAAGGACAGGCCAU
rnacentral:miRNA from 1 species